rnacentral:lncRNA from 13 species
UGUGGGUGGAGGCCAGAGUUCAGCCGCCUCAUAUGGCCGUCACAUGCUCUGCACAGUCCCUCUGCCCAUCUGCAGCAGGGAGUCAGGUUUGUCCCUUCAUGUUGAAACCAUCUUCCCAUCCGGCCCAGGCUCAGUUGACAACCUUAUGGAAAUUACUUCAGCUGCCUUUCCCAGCUGUCAGACUCUAUGGAGGAGGAAGUCAUAAUUGAGGGAAUGGUGGAAGACCGUCCACAGGACUGUCCCCAGUGAGGGCAUGGAAAGGACAGCAGGGGCUCUGACUGCUAGAGAGAAAGUGAAAGUGGAGUCAUAAAGGGAGGGAACGACAGAUGGAGAUGGUCUCAGGUGAGCUUUGCCAGUGCAAUAUUAGCUUUCCUUACUUUUAUUUUUAAAGGUACCAAUUCCAAGAUCUGCUGCCAGUAGUUUCUGAAAUGCCAGAUCUGAGUGCCAGAGAAAGCUGGAAAGCCAGUCAGCCAGGACUGCAAGUGCCAGAAGAUUACAAACACAGCCACUCGGUGCAGCUUGCUGGAGAGCUCCGUGCCUUCUCAUUUCUGCCAAAUGAAUGUGGCCAUCAAGGGGUGAAGAAAGCUUUCCCAGCAGCUUUACAGGAGACUUCUUGCGUCUUGGUAAGUAUUGAGUCACAUCCUUAUUCCUAAAUCAAACAUGGAAAGGGAAAUUAUAGUGAUCACUUAGAACAGUGGUUCUUAACCUUGGCUGCAUUUUAAAAGCUCAGAAAAAUACAGAUACCUGGGUUCCACCCUUGGAAAUUCUUCUUUAGUUGUUUUGGGAUGCAGCCAGGGGCAUGUGAUAUGGUUUGUAUCUGUGUCCCCACCCAAAUCCUAUGUUCAGUUGUAACCUCAAAGUUGGAGGUGAGACCUGAUGGAAAGUGAUUGGAUCAUGGGGGGUGGAUCUUUCAUCAAUGGUUAACACCAUCCCUUUGGUGCUGUUCUCGUGAUGGCGAGUUCUCACAAGAUCUGGUUGUUUAAAAGUGUGUGGCACCUCUGCCCUCCCGCUCUCUCUUGGUGCUGCUCCUGUCAUGUUAGAUGCCUGCUCCUGCUUUGCCUUCCACCAUGAGUAAAAGCUCCCUGAGCUUCCCCAGAAGCAGAUGCUGCCAUCCUUCCUGUACAGCCUGUGGAAUCAUGAGGCAACUAAACCUUGUUUCUUUAUAAAUUACCCAGUCUCAGGUAAUUCUUUAUAGUGAUACAAGAAUGAAUUAAUACAGCAUGAGAGUUUUAAAAGCAUCUCAGAUGAUUCUACUGGGCAGUCAAACAUUUUGAGAACCAUCAGUUUAGACCAAAUGUUUGGGGAUAGGGGAAGAAUAAAGUUGGAGAAUUCAUACUGAGUUAUAAACCA